rnacentral:lncRNA from 1 species
UUGCAAACAAAUACAAAAACUCAUCGUACCGUACUAUAAGCAAAUAAGAAAACAAAAAAUAACAUGUAUCCAAAAGAAGAAGAACACACGACGCGAAGCUCAGCACGGUAUCCCAACAGUCCCACACUGCGUUUCAACCGCACAAAUCGUUGAACCCAUAAACAACAGACCAACUAGAAACCGACGCGUAAGCAGCUUUAUUAUUUUACUUUUCUUGGCUGUUACUUUAUCCUGAGACUGCAGAUAAAUUUUGUCAGUUAGUGUGAGCAAAAGCAGUCAGCAAAAAGAAACUGUAAGAAACCGUACGCUUCUCUCUCUCGCCAUGGCUGACGAGCAUAACGAAUCGUUGCACCAAGAUCAACAAGGAGCUGAGCUAAAACAAGUAAUGCAGA